rnacentral:piRNA from 1 species
UGGGAAUGAAGAGUUGAGGACCACUGGAU